CGGGCAGGAAGGUGAAUGCAGCCACAGCAGGUGCUGCUGAAGAUCUCUGCGGUUUUCGUAACAGAGCAAGACCUGGCUGUCACUGCCUGUAGGGUGGCUUUGAAUCAGACCUCAAUCAAGACUGGAGGCCUAUUGUGUUAAUGUUCUGUGGAUAUUUGGGAGAUGCAUCCCAGCUUGCCCACUGUAUGAUUUCUGCUUCCUCUGAACAAGUGUCAUAAGAAGGCAAUGUCCCAGAAAAUAACUCCAUAUGUCCAGCUGCUCUGGGGAAGGUGGGAAGAGUCCCAUGCUCAAGAUGUCACCAGUGACAUUUGGUUCCUCCACACACAGCCUCAUUGCUCUGCAGUCUCAAUCAAUGUUUCUCUUAGACGCUUCAGCUGAAGGUAUACAACUGCAAAUUUCAAAGGCUGACACUCCAUUGACAAGGAUGAAGGAACAACAUAUAUAUAUGUAUCAACUAGGAGCAAAAAACUAUAAAGGUGGAUUGCAAAAAGAAGUUGGCAAUGAUCACAGUAAGGAGUCAUGGGAGUAGAGACCUUGGCCAAGAUUUUAUACUCAUUUUACUUUUUGAGCCACAGAAGAUGUUAAAUAACACUGAGGCUGAAUAAGAUUUUAAUAACGAAUAUAUGCAGAAGUAAAUAAAAACUGAAAAAGAACCAGUAGGAUAGAAAAGUAAAAAAUUAAUAAUCUCUCUCCCAGCCCCUCUAUACAUCAUUGCAAGCAUGCACAGCUGCAUAAAAUAUAGGAAUAAAUUUUUAUUUUGUCUUUCACCUUCCAAGUUUUUAUGAAGAGUGAUUAUGGAUUAAUUUUAAAAAAUUGCUAAA